rnacentral:rRNA from 1 species
UACGAAGGGGGCUAGCGUUGCUCGGAAUCACUGGGCGUAAAGCGCACGUAGGCGGACUCUUAAGUCGGUGGUGAAAUCCUGGAGCUCAACUCCAGAACUGCCUUCGAUACGGAGAGUCUCGAGUCCGGGAGAGGUGAGUGGAACUGCGAGUGUAGAGGUGAAAUUCGUAGAUAUUCGCAAGAACACCAGUGGCGAAGGCGGCUCACUGGCCCGGUACUGACGCUGAGGUGCGAAAGCGUGGGGAGCAAACAGG